GUCCUGGUCGGAUGCGGAACGGA
rnacentral:snRNA from 1 species